UGGGGAAUAUUGGACAAUUGGCGAAAGCCUGAUCCAGCAAUGCCGCGUGAGUGAUGAAGGCCUUAGGGUUGUAAAGCUCUUUUACCAGGGAUGAUAAUGACAGUACCUGGAGAAUAAGCUCCGGCUAACUCCGUGCCAGCAGCCGCGGUAAUACGGAGGGAGCUAGCGUUGUUCGGAAUUACUGGGCGUAAAGCGUACGUAGGCGGUUAUUCAAGUCAGAGGUGAAAGCCCGGGGCUCAACCCCGGAACGGCCUUUGAAACUAGAUAGCUAGAAUCUUGGAGAGGUCAGUGGAAUUCCGAGUGUAGAGGUGAAAUUCGUAGAUAUUCGGAAGAACACCAGUGGCGAAGGCGACUGACUGGACAAGUAUUGACGCUGAGGUACGAAAGCGUGGGGAGCAAACAGGAUUAGAUACCCACGUAGUCCCUGAGCGGGCUGGCAAGGCGCAU
rnacentral:rRNA from 1 species